GUCACUAUGUACACAGCAGAGUCCAGGUUUGGUACUGUCUGUGUCACUAUGUACACAGCAGAGUCCAGGUUUGGUACUGUCUGUGUCUCUAUGGACACAACAGAGUCAUUUAUGUAUAGCUCUGUUACACAGAACACACGUCUGUCUAGGCCUGCACCUAAUACAACACAACUCCAAAGGCUUUAUUCCAACUGCAAGGUUAGUGGCAAACAUAAUGAUGUUUUUAUCACUGAUGGUGAUGAUGACUGUGGAUACAGACUUGAACUUGUGCAUCUCCUUACUCUAAUGGGGAUAA